AGAUAUGGCCUUGUGAUAUUCGGUGCCAUUGAUGGAUACUCCAGGAAGAUCAUGUACCUUGGAGCUGCAACAGAUAACAAAGCAUCGACUGCCCUUGGUUUUUUCCAUCAGUCAGUGGAGAUGCAUGGGUAUCCGUUAAGAGUUCGAGGAGACCACGGAGUAGAAAAUGUGGAGAUCGCUAGGUGUAUGUUUUCUGUGCGAGGCUGUGGGAGGGGAAGUUUCCUGUCAGGAAAAAGCGUGCAUAACCAGCGUAUUGAACGCCUUUGGCGCGACAUAUGGAUGGCUGUAACCAACAUCUUCUAUGAUGUUUUACACACCCUCGAGGAGGAAGGGUUACUAGAUCCAGCAAACAGCCUCCACAUGUUUUGUUGUCAUUAUGUGUUCCUGCCACGCCUGCAGGCCAGCCUUGAUUCCUUCACUUGUGGAUGGAAUAACCAUCCACUUCCGCACAGAAGGCAAUCGAAGCCCCAACCAAAUGUGGGAAAUCGGGCUUAUUCAAAACCCUGUUGCUCCUCCAGAAUCUGAGAAUGCUCAAGAUGAAGACUCUGACUGGGACACGACCAGAAUCCCUGACCAGCCAUCCAGAGGAAUUGUGGUUCCUCCAGUUGAUUGCACAUUAACUGAGGAAUUAAAGGCCCAGCUGCAAGCUGUUGUUGACCCAACC